AAAGGUAAACAGAAGGACCUUGACUGAAGUACAUGCUGGCGUUAUAUAAGGAAGACACAGUUCAGUAUUAUCAGUUUCUUCAAACAGCAACGCAGGAGUAAAUACAUUGUUUCAGCAUCAACAAUGAUUCUGAAGUUGGCUCUGUUCGUCACCCUGGUAUGUGUCACCCAUGCAGCGCCAGUACUAGUACAAGGCGUCACCUCGUUUCUAGAAUUGCUGAAGAUGAUGACUCUGCCUACGCUGGAUCCUAAUCUUUUAGCCACCGGCAGACCAUGGAUCCUACCGAAUUUGCCACCGUUGAAUCACAUUGAGCCUUGGUUUCCGUAAGAUCUUUAAGGUGCUGCCGGCUGUGGUGAGCGUUUACAGACACAGGUACCAAACUUGGCUGAAAUAAAACAUGUAGUUCCACUGUAAACCUUACGGAUGCAAUAAAAAAUUGGUGUAUU